CUUGAGAGAAGGAGAGAUGAUGGUGGGCGUGCCCUCCAUCCCCCUGUUGGUUACAGAAUGACCCCUCACGCACUUCUGUCUCUGUCCCCUCCUGGCUGGGAAGCAACCACGAAUUCAAGAUUUCCCAGAAAAGCCAGCCUAACCCUGAGGAACACAGCAUAAUGGUUGUCUUUCCCCUGGGAUUCUGAGCACCAGAGAGCAUUCCUAUUGGUUCAGAAGAUGGCAAAUCCAGCUGCAUCGUGCAGGCACUUGACCGGCCGCUGACUCUCAACUCAAAACAGAUGUCUGGGCUGCACAGAGGAAGCACGCAGGGCUCCUGAACUGGCCACUGGUCCAGAUGCUUGUCCUUGUCCGCAUACCUUGGACUCUGCCUCCCAGCUGCGUUGGAUGUCCUGUCAGCCCAGGCCCAUUCUCUGUGACCUGCGCACGCAGGUCGGUGCCCUCCCUCCUCUGUGGUUGAGUGGGCUUGAUCCAGCGGUACCUUGAGGUUGGCUGGGGAACUCUGCUCCAUAUCAUCCUUAAUCAAGGACCCAGAGCUCAAGGAGGCCAAGGAACUCCGGAACUCUGCUGUCAGGAAGGAAAAAGGAGAUACCUUGGGCACCUAGGUGGCUCAGUUGUUAAGCAUCUGCCUUUGGCUCAGGUCAUGAUCCCAGGGUCCUGGGAUUGAGCCCCGCA